CCUGAAACAGUAAGAGAAUCCUGGUUUCAGUGAUGACACAAAUGAAAGUCCAGAGUCCUCUUACAGAAUGAAAAGACUAGUAGAGUGGCUCCAAAAUAUCUAUGGGGAACCAGAACUUUUCUGGAAAGAGUGAUAGAUCUAUAUCACAUUGACUAUGUCCUGUGCAAAUGUCUUGAUUUCAACAAUGAGAAAGAAUAUGGGUUAAAAAGGGUGAGGAGUGGCAAAGACAUGCAAGUGCUCUCUUCCACACCAGGUGGUCUGAUUCCUUAAGCACUCCAGGCAGAAGAUGACCUCUCUAAAUUCCUCUGUACCUCAAUAACAGACUACACUUUCUUUCACAAUUUAGGUACUUUGGAAGAUGCAAAAGAAGGGCAGCUUAACUGAAUUCAAUAGUUUCCUUUUCCCAUGGACUGCAUGACAAUGUACAAGUGAAAAGCCCAUUUCCAAAAUAUGACACCACAUGUUAUUUCAAACAAUAAGAGAAUUUUUUCUCUAGCAUGGAGAAUUUCAAUAUCUCUAUUUAAGUCUAUUUUACAUUAUUAAUUAAA
rnacentral:lncRNA from 1 species